AUUGAACGCUGGCGGCAUGCUUUACACAUGCAAGUCGAACGGCAGCGCGGGCUUCGGCCUGGCGGCGAGUGGCGAACGGGUGAGUAAUGCAUCGGAACGUGCCCAGUAGUGGGGGAUAGCCCGGCGAAAGCCGGAUUAAUACCGCAUACGACCUGAGGGUGAAAGCGGGGGACCGAAAGGCCUCGCGCUAUUGGAGCGGCCGAUGUCGGGUUAGCUAGUUGGUGGGGUAAAGGCUUACCAAGGCGACGAUCCGUAGCUGGUCUGAGAGGACGACCAGCCACACUGGGACUGAGCCACGGCCCAGACUCCGACGGAAGGCAGCGGUGGGGAAUUUUGGCCAAUGGGGGCAACCCUGAUCCAGCCAUGCCGCGUGCGGGAAGAAGGCCUGCGGGUUGUAACCGCUUUUGUUCGGGAAGAAAUCCUCUGGGCUAAUACCCCGGGGGGAUGACGGUACCGGAAGAAUAAGCACCGGCUAACUACGUG
rnacentral:rRNA from 1 species